AUACUGAGGGUGCAAGCGUUAAUCGGAAUUACUGGGCGUAAAGCGCACGUAGGCGGUUUAUUAAGUCAGAUGUGAAAGCCCUGGGCUUAACCUGGGAACUGCAUUUGAGACUGGUAGGCUAGAGUAUGGUAGAGGCUAGUGGAAUUCCGGGUGUAGCGGUGAAAUGCGUAGAUAUCCGGAGGAACAUCAGUGGCGAAGGCGGCUAUCUGGACCAAUACUGACGCUGAGGUGCGAAAGCGUGGGGAGCAAACAGGAUUAGAUACCCUAGUAGUCC
rnacentral:rRNA from 1 species